rnacentral:sRNA from 1 species
CUUGGCAAAAUUUUUGCCCUAUUUGCUGCAUGAUAAUUUAUUUUAUUUAGGCGCCAAUGAUGGUGUCUUGAAAGGCUUAGGAGGAAGAAGUACAUGCAAAACGGUAAAGUAAAAUGGUUCAACAAUGAAAAAGGUUUCGGUUUUAUCGAAGUUGAAGGCGGAGACGAUGUAUUCGUACACUUCAGCGCUAUCCAAGGCGAAGGCUUCAAAGCUUUAGAAGAAGGUCAAGAAGUUUCUUUUGAAAUCGUAGAAGGAAACCGUGGACCACAAGCUGCUAACGUGGUAAAACUUUAAUCUAAAAUAAUCUAAGGCUGGCCAUUCGCCAGCCUUUUU